rnacentral:siRNA from 1 species
UGGUGAGUUUGUAGAUGCUAC